UACAGAGGGUGCUAGCGUUGUUCGGAAUCACUGGGCGUAAAGCGCACGUAGGCGGAUGUGUCAGUCAGGGGUGAAAUCCCGGAGCUCAACUUCGGAACUGCCCUUGAUACAGCACGUCUUGAGUCCGGAAGAGGUGGGUGGAAUUCCUAGUGUAGAGGUGAAAUUCGUAGAUAUUAGGAAGAACACCGGUGGCGAAGGCGGCUCACUGGACCGGUACUGACGCUGAGGCGCGAAAGCGUGGGGAGCAAACGGG
rnacentral:rRNA from 1 species